AUGGAGAACAAGAGCGUGGCCAUCAUCGGCGCUGGCGUGAGUGGGCUGGCGGCGUGCAAGCACCUGCUGGAGCGCGGGUGCCGGCCGGUGGUAUUCGAGGCGGACACCGUCGUUGGCGGCGUGUGGGCGCACACCCCGGACUGCACCAGGCUCCAGACCGAGCGGACCAUGUACCAGUACACGGACUUCCCGUGGCCGGAUUCCGUCACGGAGGAGUUCCCGAACAACCGCCAGGUCGCCGCCUACCUCAAUGCCUACGCGCGCCGCUUCGGGGUGCUCGAAUGCAUCCGAUUCGGGCACCGCGUUGCCGGGAUGGAGUACGUCGGUGUCGCCGAGGAGGAGGUGGCGGCGUGGGACGAGUGGGCUGGCUGCGCUGACGCAUUUGGCUCUGGCAACGGCAAGUGGCGCCUCACGGUGGCCGACGCCCAGGGUCAGGUGCAGGUAAAGACUAAAGAACUAGCACUGCUAGAAAUUUCGCUCCUAGUACACACGGCAGACUUUGUGAUUCUUUGUAUUGGAAGGUUCAGCAAUGUUCCCAACAUACCUAAAUUGCCUCCUGGAAAAGGCCCGGAAGCAUUUGAUGGAAAAGUGAUCCACUCCAUGGACUAUUCCAAAAUGGGUAGUCAGAAAGCUAAGGAGAUGGUCAAGGGCAAGCGUGUGACUGUUAUUGGCUAUGGACAUUCGGCCCUUGACAUCGCUAAUGAAUGUGCAAGCUUGAACGGUACUGAGAAACCAUGCACAAUGGUUGUCCGAACCAAGCAAUGGGUCUUACCGGACUUCUAUGCUUGGGGUAUCGACAUAUCAAAAUUAUAUCUAACUCGGUUCGGUGAACUCCUUAUUCAUAAGCCUGGCGAAGGCCUCUUCCUUAGCUUGUUAGCUACCAUCUUGACUCCAUUAAAGUUGAUGUUUUCAAAGUUCGCCGAGAGCUACUACUCCAUUACAAUGAAGAAGCAUGACAUGGUUCCCGACCAUAGUUUUUUUGAGGGGAUGGUGGGAUGCUGGGUUGAACUUGCAACCAAGGAUCAUUACAAGAAUCUAGAGGAAGGCAGCAUCUUGGUUGAGAAGUCAAAGACCUUCAGCUUUUGCAAAGAAGGUGUGCUGGUUGAAGGUGAAUCUACGUUGGUAAAGAGUGACAUAGUUAUCUUUGGAACAGGAUUCAAUGGCGACCAAAAUAUCAAGAGCAUGUUCACAUCGAAAUACUUCCAGAGUAUUUUGAGUGGCUCAACAUCCAUGACUCUAUCACUGUACAGGGAUUGUGUACAUCCCAACAUUCCACAACUCGCAGUCAUCGGAUAUUCAGAGAGCUAUGCAAAUCUCCACACCUCAGAACUACGGGCCAAGUGGCUAGCACAUUUCAUGGAUGGUGGAUUUAGGUUACCGAGUAUUAAAACAAUGCAUAGGGAUGUCCUAGAAUGGGAGAAGUUCAUGAAGCGGUACUCUCAUGGCGGAUUCCAUGCAUUCUGCAUUGGACUUUUGAAUAACUGGUACAAAGAUAACCUAUGUCGGGACAUGGGAUGCAACCCAAGAAGGAAGAAUGGAAUUUUUGCUGAGUUAUUUGAGGUCUAUGGUCCAAGUGAUUAUAUUGAUCUUCACCCUAAGUAA
rnacentral:rRNA from 1 species